UUGGAGAAAUUUGAUCCUGGCUCAGAACGAACGCUGGCGGCAGGCUUAACACAUGCAAGUCGAGCGCCCCGCAAGGGGAGCGGCAGACGGGUGAGUAACGCGUGGGAACGUACCAUUUGCUACGGAAUAACUCAGGGAAACUUGUGCUAAUACCGUAUGUGCCCUUCGGGGGAAAGAUUUAUCGGCAAAUGAUCGGCCCGCGUUGGAUUAGCUAGUUGGUGGGGUAAAGGCUCACCAAGGCGACGAUCCAUAGCUGGUCUGAGAGGAUGAUCAGCCACACUGGGACUGAGACACGGCCCAGACUCCUACGGGAGGCAGCAGUGGGGAAUAUUGGACAAUGGGCGCAAGCCUGAUCCAGCCAUGCCGCGUGAGUGAUGAAGGCCCUAGGGUUGUAAAGCUCUUUCACCGGUGAAGAUAAUGACGGUAACCGGAGAAGAAGCCGGCUACCU
rnacentral:rRNA from 1 species